rnacentral:rRNA from 1 species
UAGUCGAGUAGCAUGACAGGUCUUUAAAGUGGUGGAUCAAACGACGACCAGGAUCUGAAAAGCUAAGAAUGAGGAGCGAUCAGGGGCUAGUUUAUUAAGCGACGAAAGGUGAAAUUUGAUGACUCGCUUAGGAGAAACGGAGGCGAAGGCGCUAGCCAGGAGCGAAUCCGAUGAUAAAGGACGUAGGCUAGAGGAUCGAAGACGAUUAGAGACCGUUGUAGUUCUAGCAGUAAACGAUGCCGACGCUGUGCUAUUAGAAGUAGUGCGGAAGAGAAAUCGAGUAGGGCCUUGGGGAGAGUACAUACGCAAGUAAGAAACUUAAACGAAAUUGACGGAAGAACACCACAAGGAGUGGAGUGUGCGGCUUAAUUUGACUCAACGCGGGACAGCUUACCAAGCCCGACGACUGGACGAGUGUAGUACACGAUAGGUCGGAGAGUGGUGCAUGGCCGUUAACGACAAGUGGGGUGACCUUAUGGUUAAGUCCGGGAAGUAGUGAGACCCCUGCUAGCGGAAGACGAGACGAGCUAGGACAGGUACGCAAAGUACAGGAAGGAAGGGUCAAGAACAGGUCAGUGAUGCCCUCAGAUGGCUUGGGCUGCACGCGCACUACAGUGGUCACACGAAUAAAAGAAAGUAACAGUAAAGGUGAUUGAGAGGGAAUGAGCUUUGUAAGAGGCUCAGGAACGAGGAAUUGCUAGUAAUCGCAGACUCAUUAAGAUGCGAUGAAUACGUCCCUGUUCUUUGUACACACCGCCCGUCGUUAUCGAAGAUGGAAUCAGGUGCGAACAAGUGAAAACGAGUGAGUACAGGGUUCUAGAUGUGAUACAAGUCGUAACAAGGUAGCUGUAGGAGAACCUGUAGCUGGAUCAGUCCGAGAGAAACGAAAGAGAAGAGUUAGUUAGAAGAGUAAAGAAAACCCUGCGCAAGGGAUCUUUUGGUUCGGUGAGCGAGGAAGAGCGCAGCGGAGAGCGAGAUGUGCAGGAGCAGCGGCGAUGACGGCACGUGCUUGAAGAUGCGGUGGCAGGACAACCCCUUAGAUUUAAGCAUAUUAGUAAAGGGAGGAAAAGAAACUAACGAGGAUUCCUGUAGUAGCGGCGAGCGAACAAGGACGAGCCCAAAGUGUAAUUGACGGAGCAAUCUGUCGAGAUGUCAAAGAAGCACGGCGUAACCAGUCUGGAACGGAGGGCCUAAGAGGGUGAUAGCCCCGUGAGCGUGCAGGGAGAAGGAGUAGCAGUGCUCGGUAGUGCACUGUGAACGGGUGGCAGCGUCCAUCCAAGGCUAAA